rnacentral:misc_RNA from 1 species
UCUGCACACACUGCUCUUCUCAUCUCCCUGCGCCACUUUGGGGCUGGUUUACAAGGCGAUUAUACUGUACAUAUCCAUCAGCAGGUGCACAUUCCUCGUGCGUACGUUGGCCACCAUCACAUACGUACAUAGCGCGCCGCCACUCCUCUUUGUGCAGUGUCUCUGCGGCAAACUCUCUGACAAGUACAGCUCAGCAGAGCAGCGCCACUCGUGUGGCGCUUGUGUGGAAGAAAAGUGUUGUUGCUCCCCCCCUCAACACUACUUGCGCUUCUUCACGAACUCUUUACGAAGGACUUUAGUACACCCCUCCACCCCCAAUUCUUCACGAUCGAGCAGUUUUACGUAAUGACCUUCUCUUUUAGCGUCAUCUCUACCACGGGGCAGCGGAUCUCCAUCUCUGUACUCGGUCCGGAUAACACUGUAGGCGACAUCAAGGCGAAACUUGAGGAGACGGAAGGCAUUCCGCAGAAGAUGAUCAUGCUGGUGCACUCUGGUCGAAAACUGGAAGACAACGCAACCCUGGAGGAGUGCAACAUACACGCUGGCGUCACAAUCAAUAUGGUGCUUGCUCUGCGUGCAGGCCGCUGAGCGUCAGCCAGGAAACCGUAUUGCUCGCUUUACGGAUGAUCGAUGGCGGCGCCCUGCAGUGUGGCAAGCCGCAAACAAGCUUCGACACAAAAGGCGGCGGACAACCCGUUGGAAUACUUAUCGACGCGCAGUGUAUGUGAGGCAGAGAGAGAGACACCACGCGGAUUUCGCGCCGCGCCCCUCCUUGCUCGACUGCGCAUCCUCGUCGCCACGUACUCUGCGCUUUUUCCUAUUCUCCUGCCAUGAUGAUGGCGACGGCAAGGCAAUAGCGCUCUGGGGGGUUUUGUCUGCGUCCGAGUAGCCGCAAGCAAUGCGGUAAGGGGCUAGGCGGAGAUUCACCUUUUUUGUUUCUCCAGUUUCUGUUCGAAAUGGAGGGAGCACAUAUGCACUUCAUUUGCUUCUUCUGUGUCAACGUCUGUGUGCUCGGUUGCGUGUACUGUAGCGGUGCACGUUUCAGGGUUUAGUGGGCCGCCCACUCAUUUUUUUGUUUUGUUUUCGUUUGCGCGUGUGUGUGUGUGUGCGUCCUCGGUGCGUGUAUGUGUCUGUGUGUGUCUCUCCCUCUGUGUAUGUAUGUUGCUGCGAUUGUUCCGAGGUGGAAAAGACGACGACCAAAGCUGAAGCGAUCGUGUAGGAGUUGGGUGCGAGCGGAAAGGUGGAAAGGGGGAGGGGUAUUGUCUUUUUCUUUCCUGCAAAGGGCGGCCUGUCGUGAUGCGGAAACUCAAAAAGAAGAAUCCGCGGUCUUUGCGAUAUUCUCAGCCCUCAGACGAAC